UUUGUGUACAUUUUGUUAUGUUAUUGUAUAACAACUCAUAUUGUUUUAUUAUCAUUAAUAAUAAAAUGAUAAUCAGUAAUAUUACCAAUAUUAAUUGAAAACAAGAGCCUGUGUUACUCUCCUGGAUUGUUUCAAAGGAAAAGAUUCUUUGUACAAGUUACAAAACCAUUACAGAGGACACCAAGUGAUGAAAACAGCUCAGAUGACCCUUAGUUCAGAAAAGAUAACAUGUGUGUGUAUAUAUAUAUACUAUAAACACAACCCCAAUCGCGUGUCUGUGGCUGAAUUAAGGCAUCAAGUUAUAUAUAAGCUUUAUUUUUUACCUGGAAUGUUUUGUACUCGUAUUAUAAUCUGAUAUCGUCUAUUUAUAUAUAUGCUGUCUAUAAGAUGCAUGAUUUUCUCUGCAUUAAAAAAUCUUAGGGUUUGAACCCAUUGACCUGGAACUUAUUCAUUCUUGCUUUGCAUUAUAAUAGUUUAAAUAUUUAGUAUUCUUAAAGUCAUCUUAUAAAGUCAUGCUGAUUAAAUACUACAAUAGGAAACAAUGUGACAAUGAUUGAAUUUAGUAUAUCAAGUUAAGGUGUGAUUAUGACCCAUUUAAAUAGCAAAUCCCAAAUACACCCUUUGAUGGUGUACCUGACACAUGAGGAAUAUACAAUUUAGGUAAUAGGUACAUAUACUGUUGGAAAAGGUUUCUGCAAGGAUUUGUAUCUUACUAUAAAUCCUUGGUUUCAGGUUUGAAAUGGAAUUUGUUAAUUAUGUUUUUUUAUUAAUUAUGUGGAAACCAAAAGGGACUGGAAUGGCGUCAUUUUUAAUCAACACCAUUGUCCUAUAUUAGUUAUACAGAAAGUGAAAUUCUUUUAUUCACCAUCUUUUACCCAUGCCAGCUAACAAAUUUUACCACAUUAUUUUAGUAUAAUAGAAAAAGUUAACAAGACAUCUGAUACUAGAAAUCUU
rnacentral:lncRNA from 1 species